GCAUAGCUUUACACAUGCAAGUCGGACGGUCAGCACAGANAAGCUUGCUUCUUGGGUGGCGAGUGGCGAACGGGUGAGUAAUAUAUUGGAACGUACCGAGUAAUGGGGGAUAACUUGCCGAAAGGUAAGCUAAUACCGCAUACGCUCUGAGGAGGAAAGCAGGGGACCUUCGGGCCUUGCGUUAUUCGAGCGGCCAAUAUCUGAUUAGCUAGUUGGUGGGGUAAAGGCCUACCAAGGCGACGAUCAGUAGCGGGUCUGAGAGGAUGAUCCGCCACACUGGGACUGAGACACGGCCCAGACUCCUACGGGAGGCAGCAGUGGGGAAUUUUGGACAAUGGGCGCAAGCUCUGAUCCAGCCAUGCCGCGUGUCUGAAAAAAAGGCCCUUCGGGUUGUAAAGGACUUUUGUCAGGG
rnacentral:rRNA from 1 species